GUCAACUCUGACGACGGGAAACCCGGAAAUGUUCCGAGUAAUGAAUGAAUCGUCCAGUGCUGUUUAGUGAACUGGUUCAAUUGAGUCAACAUAUUUGACUCCAAAGAACGAUUCGUUCGAACAUGAUUCGAACAUAGCUAAGAUGGAAAAAAGGACACGUUUGGUGCAGUGCACCUUCAAUGGCAAAUUAAAAAAGUGGACUCAACUAUUUAUUUGAGCUCUCAAAACAUUGUUAUAUAGUUUGUGUGAAACAACAGGAGCAGUCGCGGCUAUGCAUAAAAUGACCUUUGUAAACCUUUGUCUUAUCUAGGUUUGUCUUACAAUAGGUUUCUGUUAGUUUAGAAGAAUCAAACAGAACUCCUUGGCGUGUUGGAAACACACAUUGCAGCCCGUGCACCCAUCGAUGUUAUGUACUUAAAUGACACGCUCUGCAUUGAAAGAUACUCAAUGAAGUUAGAGACCGACUUCCCUCCAUUCUCCUGCUGGGUCCUAAUGCUCCCUCUGACCGGGUUUGAUGACAGACUGCCCCACAUGACUUCUGAUGCCACUCAUCACACAAAGAAUUACAGAAGAAAUCAAUCUUUAAUUGCAAUAGAAGAUGUACAUAGUCUGUUGAAACUGACAGAUAAAUAAAGUUAGUAAAGUAGCAGUAGUGAUUAAAAAAGAGAGACUCAAAAAUAUGGUUAUACUCUAGCUCUCUUCCUUCACUAUGGAAAUUAAUAGAACACUUCAUAACAAUCUAUUGGGCAAACAGGUUGUAAACACUACACACAAAGGCAGAAAACAUGAUGGUUUCACCUGUUUGUCAGUGAGGUACAAAAACUAAGUAUCAGUAUCCCUUGGCAUGAAAGACCCCACAGUUACUGUUAGGUCCUAAUCAGGGUUACAGCUUGUUAUUUGUCACUUGUUUCAAUGGUGUGAUAAUGUGUUUUUCAUCAUAUAUUAUGAGUGUGAACAUGUUAUCCCUAUUAUUGGCCAUUCAAUUCAUGUUUACUCCCUCUGCAUUUAUUUCAUUACCAAAUCAGGUGACGUAAUCGCCCUGGCAUGACCCAAAAAUAUAUUAAACCCACUUUAAGGUAUUACAGCAUUUCCUGAUCCAUCCUAACAGGAGUGAUGAAAGUAAUCUGGUCUAACCUUACCAACAGAUCUCUUUUUUUAAGAGCAUAACAUCUCAGAAAUAAAGAAAACGAAAGAAAGAAAAACAUUGCACCUUAAUUCUUUCCUAGUAUCGGUUUUGUCUUCAUCAUCUGUAUUAGACAUAAGCCAUAUGUAUUUCUACCAUCACAAUAUACAAUGUGUGUUUAAUCAAUAUUAGUCUAAUAAUCCUAAAGUCUUCUUGUGAGAAAAGUGUACAUUCAGUAUGCAUUACUCCUUUGAAAUGACCUGAACAAAGUACAGCACCGUAGUGCUCAAUUUCAUCUGCUAACUUCACAAAUAACAGUCAGACUUUGGUAUUCAUUGUCAAGCAAAUCAGCACUUAUUUCAGUCCACCUAAGCUUAUGUAGUCCUUGUAUAAUAGUGAAAUAAAAGGACUGAAAAAUAUCAUUUUAUAACCUUUAAAAUUAAAUAUUACUUAAUAAUGUACUUGAUGGAUGAUGUCGAAUGAUUCAUCCACUCUCAUUAUAGUUGUAUUAAUCAUAUUUACAUUCUCUUCACUCACUUUGCUGGUGCAUAAAUUAAUAGAGAACAUAAGGCAAAAUUCAAAAUCCUUACAAUUCCUGAUUCCUUCGUUUUGUCAUUCAGAAACAAAAUAAAAUGUGUCCAAGAACCACUUUACACUCAAGUAAAACUAAAAUGUUCCAACCAUUCUGUUUGUUAUUUAUUUCUGUCUUUCUUUGUCAAUUAUUCUAGCCUGUCUGAUCAUUUAUAUGCAUCUGUCACAAAGAACAGUUGCACAAUUUCUAGGUACAGACCAGGCAUGACUAUGUGUCUGAGGAUGUGUUUGUUUAGUUAGACUGGAACAGGUAUUCAGGUCUCUCUGUGUGUGUGGGACAGAAAUG